rnacentral:ncRNA from 1 species
AGUCAAUGUGGCGGCGACUAACUGCGGGGUGGUGUUUCUGGUCGCCGAUCCGCCCAGGGAGAGGGGGUACAUCCCGCAGGGAGCCAAUGGCGAAACCGGCCACAGCACA